GGGGGUGAAAGUGGGAUACGCGCAUUGGCAACUCGAGAGUAUAGGCGAGGGGGGCUUUGCACUCCCGGGGAGAUGAAAAGGAACGACCAAUGACGACUGCUUAUUUUAAAACAAGCGCGUAUUCAUUAGGGAUUUCAUUAAUUUGUAUUUUUUGACGUAACAAUGACAUCUACGCUUGCGCUCAGAUCGCUAAAAAGAUCGCGCCGAAAAUAUCGCGCCAAAAGUGUUGUGUUUUGUCACUCAUCGUUCAACGUGUUACCGGAAUACGUUAGUGAGUCAAUUCCUGGUGUUGAGCACCGACCAAAAAGAUAAGUAUCUCUUCUUUUGCUAACAUAACUUCAUCUUUUUGAUUGGUGUUUCUUUCUAUUUUAAAGGCAUUGGUCUCUGGGCUGGGGUGACGGAUUUUUGAUUUCUACUACUCAAGCGAACUUUAGUCAUGGCUGGUUAUCGCAAAUAUUCCUGCAAAUACCCCGGAUGCACCAGUGGUUAUGUUCCCAACAAAGGACAUGCCAACAAGCAUUUCUUCACUUUCCCUAAGAAUCCAAAGCUUCACGAAUUGUGGAGGAAUGCCUGCAAAAUUGAGGAUCCUGUAAGUUCAAAAUUUUGGCGUUUAUGUGAGGAUCAUUUUGAAAGUCGCGAUUUUGUUAAUGAGAGGAAGGAUAAAUUAAAUCCACAUGUAGUUCCAAAACCAUGCGUUAUGGCCCCACAAGAGGAGUUUGUUGAGGUUUCCAACUGACUCAAAAAAGUACCGGUGUGCUUUGACAGAUGAGUCGCCCCAUUUGGCAUUUUGGUCAAAAUUGUUAACGGAGAUGGGCCAUUGGAAACUAAUAGAUUUGAAAAAUGGAACUGAUUGUACCAAUCAGUUUUCAUUCGUCAAGGGUUGGCAGACGACAAUCAGGUCUAUUAUUUUUUUAUGGAAUCACCUCAAAAACAUCGAUGGGUUUGAUUUUUUGAACUUGAGGGGUCUAAACCAAGACCCCUUGGAGAAUCUUUUCUGUAGUAUUCGCCAGCACGGUGUUGCAAACACGAAUCCCACAUGCCACCAGUUCACAGCUGCCUUGAAAACCGUAGUUGUUAACAAUUUGGUUUCACCAAAAGGCUGUGGUAAUUGUGAGGAUGACGAGUGCACGCCUUUGGAAAACUUGGGGAGAUUAUUGAACUUUUCAGGGAAUGAGGAAAGAGAGCAGGAAUCGCAUCCAGAAAUUUCAGUGGACUUUUCUACAUUACAGCAACCAGACCUUUGCUGUGAAGACAGUCAAGGUUUGGCUUAUGUUGCUGGCUAUGUAUUGAAGGAAAUUGAGGUUCCUGAUUGCGAAAACUGUCAGAAUAAACUAUAUUCUGAGGAGCCGACAGAGCACCAUCUCUUAGUCUCAUUCAAGGAAUUUGACGAUAAUCAGCGGCGACUGAAGUAUGCUAGUGAACAUGUAAUGUGGCUUGUUCAAAACAUUCAUGACUGUUUAUACAGUUUCCUUGAUACCUAUGCUCACCACGCAAUGUUGGAAGACAGGUUCAAAGAAAUUUAUAAAUCUCAGUUUGAUUUUGGGCCAGCCUAUUGCAUGACUCACGACUGUGAUAAUUUAAUAUUAAAUAGGUGUACCACCUUUUUAAUAUAUAAAUACACAAGAGACAAGCAGAAAGCAAAAUCCGUUACCACCGGUCAUAUAGAAAAAAUGAAAAAAUUCCGAAGGCUGUGAUUUGUAAAUAGACUGUGAUUUGUACAUAGAAGGCUGUGAUUUGUAGAUAUAUAUUUAAACAAGAAAUGUAUUUUUUUUUUAAUUUAUUUGUACAUAGUUCUUUUGGAGGAAAUAUUUCUGUUUUAAUUUAUAUAGUUUAAAAUUGUUUGUUAAGUUUUUUGAUGUUUUUUAGAAUUCUCUAUUUAGGUUAUUUCAGAAUUUACUUUUAAGUUUCUUAUUUGCGCUCGAGUGUGUCAGUGCACUGCAUGUACCUCCUCGUGGUCGUAGCGCGGGCAACUGUUUGCUGACAGACAAGGUAAAAGUCAUUGCAAAGAAGGCCUUAUUUUGUUUUAAGUCUGGAGCAGACAGGCAAAACAUGCCAACACUGACUGAUUCAAUUUUUUGAUAAUUUUUGUAUAAUUAAGAAAUAAUACAAUACUUUAAUUUUUUGAAAAAUUUAAUUUGUUAUGUUACUCAAGUGUGCAAUAAAAAUGUUAACAAAA